UACGUAGGGGGCAAGCGUUGUCCGGAUUUAUUGGGCGUAAAGAGCGUGUAGGCGGCCAGAUAGGUCCGUUGUGAAAACUCGAGCUCAACCUCGAGACGCCGAUGGAAACCGUAAAGCUAGAGUCCGGAAGAGGAGAGUGGAAUUCCUGGUGUAGCGGUGAAAUGCGCAGAUAUCAGGAGAACACCCGUGGCGAAAGCGGUCUC
rnacentral:rRNA from 1 species